CACGAGAUGCCUUCUUCCCUUCGGGACCUCACACAGGUGCUGCGAUGGCUGUCGUCAGCUCGUGCCGUGAGGUGUCGGGUUAAGUCCCAUAACGAGCGCAACCCCUACCUUAGUUGCCAUCAGGUUAAGCUGGGGACUCUAAAGGAACUGCCUACGCAAGUAGUGAGGAAGCGGGGAUGACGUCAAAUCAGCACGGCCCUUACGUCCAGGGCUACACACGUGCUACAAUGGCCGGUACAAAGGGCAGCUACCUGGUGACAGGAUGCUAAUCUCAAAAGCCGGUCUCAGUUCGGAUCGGAGUCUGCAACCCGACUCCAUGAAGCUGGAAUCGCUAGUAAUCGCGCAUCGGCCAUGGCGCGGUGAAUACGUUCCCGGGCCUU
rnacentral:rRNA from 1 species